UACGUAGGCAGCGAGCGUUGUUCGGAAUUACUGGGCGUAAAGAGUGUGUAGGCGGUGUUCCCAGUCUGUUGUGAAAUCUCCCGGCUUAACUGGGAGGGUGCAGCGGAAACUAGAAUGCUAGAGGGUGGGAGAGGUAAGCGGAAUUCCCGGUGUAGCGGUGAAAUGCGUAGAUAUCAGGAGGAACACCUGUGGUGUAGACAGCUUACUGGACCACUUCUGACGCUGAGACACGAAAGCGUGGGUAGCAAACAGG
rnacentral:rRNA from 1 species